UACGUAGGUGGCAAGCGUUGUCCGGCUUUACGGGGCGUAAAGAGCGCGCCGGCGGCCGAGUCAGUCGAAUGUGAAAGCCCCCGGCUCAACUGGGGAGGGUCAUUCGAUACUGCUCGGCUUGAAGAUAGGAGAGGGAAGCGGAAUUUCAGGUGUAGUGGUGAAAUGCGUAGAUAUCUGAAGGAACACCAGUGGCGAAGGCGGCUUUCUGGCCUAUUCUUGACGCUGAGGCGCGAAAGCUAGGGGAGCAAACGGG
rnacentral:rRNA from 1 species